GACGAACGCUGGCGGCGUGCUUAACACAUGCAAGUGGAGCGACGAACCAGGGCUUGCCCUGGGGCAGAGCCGCGAACGGGUGAGUAACACGUGGGUUACCUGCCUCGAUGACCGGGACAACCCGAGGAAACUCGGGCUAAUACCGGAUGUGCCCGCAAGGGGAAAGGAAGCUUCGGCCUCCGCAUCGAGAUGGGCCCGCGGCCCAUUAGCUUGUUGGUGAGGUAACGGGUCACCAAGGCUUCGGUGGGUAGCUGGUCUGAGAGGACGAUCAGCCAGACUGGGACUGAGACACGGCCCAGACUCCGACGGGAGGCAGCAGGCGAGAAGCUUCGGCAAUGGGCGAAAGCCUGACCGAGCGACGCCGCGUGAGCGAAGAAGGCCCUAUGGGUUGUAAAGCUCUGUCAGAUUGGGAAGAAAACCUCGCGGUUAAUACCCGCGAGGCCUGACGGUACCAUCAGAGGAAGCACCGGCUAACCCCGUGCCAGCCGCCGCCGUAA
rnacentral:rRNA from 1 species